UGGGUUGUAGCUCAGUAGUAGAGCACUUGCCUCACAUGUGUAAGGCCCUGGGUUUGAUCCCCAGCACCACAU
rfam:Ictidomys tridecemlineatus contig057039, whole genome shotgun sequence.